rnacentral:rRNA from 1 species
AACGAACGUUAGCGGCGCGCCUAAGACAUGCAAGUCGAGCGAGAAAGGGCUUCGGCCCCGGUAAAGCGGCGCACGGGUGAGUAACACGUAGGUCAUCAACCCUCGAGUGGUGGAUAACUCUCCGAAAGGAGAGCUAAUACAGCAUGAUGUUAGCAAUAACCAAAGCGGGCCUCUUCAUGAAAGCUCGCGCUAGAGGAUGAGCCUGCGGCCCAUCAGGUAGUUGGCGGAGUAACAGCCCACCAAGCCAAAGACGGGUAGCUGGUCUGAGAGGAUGAACAGCCACACUGGAACUGAGACACGGUCCAGACUCCUACGGGAGGCAGCAGUCGGGAAUCUUCCGCAAUGGGCGAAAGCCUGACGGAGCGACGCCGCGUGAGUGAUGAAGGCCUUCGGGUUGUAAAGCUCUGUGGGGAGAGAAGAAUAAGUCUAGGCGAAUACCCUGGAUGAUGACGGUAUCUCCUUAGCAAGCACCGGCUAA